GUUCCGUGAUCACCAAGCUAAGAGUCAUCAACCCACAAACCAUAAGCAACCAUAUGGUUGGUGUAACGACAAUUUGCCUCCAAAUGAAAUAGUGACAGUUUCACAAAUGCCAAUAUAGCUUAAUAUUAAUGCGUAAAGUGGGAAAAAAUAUUUUUAGUGUCAAUAAGCCCAAAUAUAUUAAACUUUUAGUAUAUAUAUUAAGGGGCCCAAA